rnacentral:lncRNA from 1 species
UCCACUCCUCGGUGCGGCCUCCGGUGCGCGGGCCGGCUGGGGGCUCGCCUCCUCGACCCUUCGGUUUCUCUCCCUCGCUCUGUGCCCUCUCCCGGGCGACAAAAGGUAGACGGAUUCCGUGCGGGCUGGGCACGCCCGGGACAGCGAAGGGGGCUGAGCAGUGAGAGGUCACUCUAGCAACCUGUGGCUGCCCGGGGGGGAAGGCGGCCGGCGAGCCAGCGAGCGAGCGGGGAGUACAGGGGAGGUGGCUCGGGAUGCGCGCGCAAAGCUUUUUGCUUUUUCUUAUUUUUAUUAUGACUACUCCUGUUAGCAUUCUUUUGAGGGUGGAAGGGAGAGGCAGCCCCCGGUUUUGGUGAAAUCCGUCUAGGGAGUGGCUGAUAAACCUUGUCCUCCACCCAUCGCGGCUGCACUCGGCUGGUGGUGGGGGGGGGUGCGGCGCCUCGGUGGGAUGGGCAGGUGGCGGCUCCCAGCGCGCAGAAGAGAAAAUCUCUGCGCUCUGUCCCUAAGAUCAGCCAUACCCAGCCCCGCAGUGUCUCUGUCUCCCAUACCUCUCUCUUGGGGUGCUCCGAGCACCUGGGCUGCAUCCUUUGUGAAGUGCAGAGCAACAGAGAGGCCCGGUGGCCGGCCUAGCGGCCCUCCCCAAAUUCGGAAAAGCCGACUGAGUUGGACGGGUUUCAGAGAGCGAGCGAGUUGAGAAGGACAGGAGGUAUGGGGUGGGGGAGGGGCCUGGCCAGUUGGAAUGGGUCGUGGAACCCCUGACUAACUGGCCUUUGAUAAGACUUGGAAAGAUCCCUGCUUGAGGUCUCGGGGCUGGUGGGGGUCCUACCCAGGCAUUUUGUCUGUGGGCCCAGGGCCAGACUCUAGUAGUCUCUCUAGGUGCCCAUGUGGGGGGGUCUAUUGGACCCUCUCUUGGCAAAGAUCAUUAAAAUAUAAGUGUGGUGUGGUGUGGUGUGGGGGGUGUGUGUGUGUGUGUGAUUUUUCAAAUAUAUGCAAGUCAGCCUGGCUGGGCUGGGAGAGUGUUGUUGUUAGAAAUCAGGCCCGGAGGCCAAAAUUGGCAAUCUGGAUUUAGGAUAGAAAAUCAGAGGGUCUCUGGACAUAGUUUCUGGCAAGUGGGAGCACUCCUCCUACCCACCUGCAAGGGUCCCAGAAUUGUGGAUGGGCAGAGACUUCUGGAAUGUGAUGGUUAGAGGGUUGUUUUUGUGUGUGUGUGUUAUCGCUGUAUUUGUUAAUGAAAUUGAUAUGAUUCUGACUUGCUCACCAGGGAUGCAAGUAUUUCUCAGGGAGAUGGGUAGGGAGUCUGGGCAAGGCGGAGGCUUUCUCUGCGCCAAUUCCCCUAACCCUGUGCUGGCCCUCAGCAUUCAGUCUAGGACCCAGUUCCCUCCAGCCCAGUCCCCAGUCUCCCAGUUUAGUAUACUCAGCAGUUACUGGGACCGUCAGGAAGUUCAUUCAGAAACCCCAGGUUCCCCCAGGUUUCCCAGAUCCCCAUUUUGGUCGCACUGCCAGCGACCCUAGCAGGUGGCAGAAUGAGCAAAUUUAGACAGAGAGAGUCUGCCUGGGGCUAGGGAGGUGGGAGAAGCGGGGUUCCUCGCACACUUCAGGGAUUAUCCCCCUUUUCUGGCCCCAGGAGGUAUGGGAGUUUGGGAGGGGCCAGAAUAUCAUCUGGCUGCAUCUUUUAUGGUUCCUCAUUGCCCUUCAUUCGGAAAUGAAACGCCUUUGAUCUUUUUCUCAGGUUGUAAAUGGAAUUGCCCGUCAUUAAAUAUCCGGGGCCCCAUCUGUUUGGUCUCCCAGCAUUUUUCUUUACAGCUGUUUCUCUCUCUUUUUACCAUUGAAUUUUUCCAAAAGGACUUUUAUGACACCUCCUUCACACCCAGCCGCCUCUCCCUCCUCCCUUUGCUGAGAGGCGCCUUGGAAAAUAUCUAGAUAUUCGUUUGAUGGCAAACUAAAGGCUUCGAGGGGCAUGGAGGAACCGAUUGGGGUUUUGUUUUUCUUAAAAAAAAAAAAAAGUCCUGGGGGGAGGGGAGGGGCGCGAGGGCACCCAGAAGGGCCUGAUUCUGACUAUGCUGCAGCCUCAGGAUGACCCUUCCUCCUUUUGUGCUUAGCUAAUGUUUACAUCUCAUAAUUCAUGCGCCGCCCAGGGUUGCGCCGCGGCCGCGAGGUUCGCGUCCCUUUGCGGAACCGGCGGUUUCAAUUUCUCUCUGAUAGAAGAGAAAGAGAGUUGAAAACCUUGUAAUCCCCAAAAUGGACCCGCAGUGCCUUUUCCUGCUCCCAGAACUCAAAAGUAGAACAAAACGAAAUAAAAUCAAAGCACUGAAAUCACACCCCAAACGAGAAGAAGGCGCGCAAAGUGGGAGAACUGGAAAAUUUCUGGGCCAAGAAGAUCUGUCUGUCUUCUGUAUAUACCCUGUAGAUCCGAAUUUGUGUAAGGAAUUUUGUGGUCACAAAUUCGUAUCUAGGGGAAUAUGUAGUUGACAUAAACACUCCGCUCAUUUUUUUUCCGAAGAAAAAAAAAUUUUUUUCCCAAAUGAGGACCAUCCGGUGACUGACCACACGAAGACUCCUUCCUUUUUCUUUCUUCUUUCUUUUCCUCCCUUACUGGUUAGAGACAGAGGAAUCAUCUACCUGAAUUCUCCCACGCCUGCCCCUGGAAGGCUUGGUCCCUUUUCGCUUCUCUUAA